UACAGAGGUCCCAAGCGUUGUUCGGAUUCAUUGGGCGUAAAGGGUGCGUAGGUGGCGCGCUAAGUCAGGUGUGAAAUUUCGGAGCUUAACUCCGAAACUGCAUUUGAUACUGGCGUGCUUGAGGACUGGAGAGGGGACUGGAAUUUACGGUGUAGCAGUGAAAUGCGUAGAGAUCGUAAGGAAGACCAGUGGCGAAGGCGGGUCUCUGGACAGUUCCUGACACUGAGGCACGAAGGCCAGGGGAGCAAACGGG
rnacentral:rRNA from 1 species